GAUGAACGCUGGCGGCAGGCCUAACACAUGCAAGUCGAGCGCGCGGCGGACGGGUGAGUAAUGUCUGGGAAACUGCCUGAUGGAGGGGGAUAACUACUGGAAACGGUAGCUAAUACCGCAUACCAUCAGAUGUGCCCAGAUGGGAUUAUCUAGUAGGUGGGGUAUCGGCUCACCUAGGCGACGAUCCCUAGCUGGUCUGAGAGGAUGACCAGCCACACUGGAACUGAGACACGGUCCAGACUCCUACGGGAGGCAGCAGUGGGGAAUAUUGCACAAUGGGCGCAAGCCUGAUACAGCCAUGCCGCGUGUGUGAAGAAGGCCUUCGGGUUGUAAAGCACUUUCAGCGGGGAGGCGUUACCCGCAGAAGAAGCACCGGCUAACUCCGUGCCAGCCGCCGCGGUAAUAC
rnacentral:rRNA from 1 species